AUGUCGCAGGUUGUACAAUCGACAAAGUUUGACUUUAGACUUGCGAAUCACCUUGAUGAUGAGUUGCAAAAACUAAGAUGCCGUGUUAAUUUUCAUGCUUUGAGAUUUACAAAACCUAUACAAGAACUUGGUCAAACAACUGUUACUAGAAUGCAGAAGAUGUCACGUCGGUUCAUAGCAGUCCAUUUGAGGUUUGAACCAGAUAUGCUAGCAUUUUCAAGUUGUUAUUUUGGUGGGGGAGAUAAAGAAAGAAAUGAGCUUGGUGAAAUCAGAAAAAGGUGGACAACAUUACCUGUAAGACUACAAUCCAUUGACCUCUAA